AUUGAACGCUGGCGGCAUGCUUUACACAUGCAAGUCGAACGGUAACAGGCCGCAAGGUGCUGACGAGUGGCGAACGGGUGAGUAAUGCAUCGGAACGUGCCCAGUCGUGGGGGAUAACGCAGCGAAAGCUGUGCUAAUACCGCAUACGAUCUAUGGAUGAAAGCGGGGGACCAUAAGGCCUCGCGCGAUUGGAGCGGCCGCUGUCAGAUUAGGUAGUUGGUGGGGUAAAGGCCCACCAAGCCAACGAUCUGUAGCUGGUCUGAGAGGACGACCAGCCACACUGGGACGGGGACACGGCCCAGACUCCUACGGGAGGCAGCAGUGGGGAAUGUUGGACAAUGGGCGCAAGCCUGAUCCAGCAAUGCCGCGUGCAGGAAGAAGGCCUUCGGGUUGUAAACUGCUUUUGUACGGAACGAAACGGUCUGGGUUAAUACCUCGGGCUAAUGACGGUACCGUAAGAAUAAGCACCGGCUAACUACGUGCCAGCCGCCGCGGUAACAC
rnacentral:rRNA from 1 species